UGGCUCACAGGUUCAAUCACCAGCCUGGCACAGUGGAUUAAGGAUCUGGUAUUGUGGCAGCUGCAGCUUAGGUCAUGACUGUGGCUUGGAUCUGAUCCCUGGCUCCAUAUGCCAGAGGGCAGCCAAAAUGAAAAAAAAAAAAAAAUUGUUUUGAAUUAUAGACGGCUUCCUUUUAAAAUGCAUUUCUGGAGUUCCCAUCAUGGCUCAGCAGAAACAAAUCUGACUAGCAUCCAUGAGGACACAGGUUUGAUCCCCGGCCUCACUCAGUGGGUUAAAGAUCCAGCAUUGCCGUGAGCUGUGGUGUUGGUUGCAGAUGCAACUCAGAUCUUGUAUUGCUGUGGGUGUGGCAUAGGCCAGCAGCAGCAGCUCCAAUUCGACCCCUAGCCUGGGAAUUUCCAUAUACUGCGGGUGCAGCCCUAAAAAAAAACAACAACAAAAAAGAAAUGCAUUUCUUUGACAAGAACCUUGAGUCAUAUGAUAAAAGUCAGAGAUUCAGGUCAAAACAACAGGCUAUUAUAAACUAGCUGUCCAGAGGAUGUCUACAGAAGCAGGCAUUUCCCACCACAAUAUCCAGUGGCUAGUUGAAAAGGUUAACAUCCUUUUAUUCUUUUUUUAAUUUUUUUUAAUUUUUUGCUUUUUAUUUUAGGGCCACACCAGCAGCAUAAGAAAGUUUCCAGGCUAGGAGACUAAUCAUAGCUACAGCUGCUGGGCUAGGCCAUAGCCAUAGCAACUUAGGAUCCUAGCCUCAUCUGCAACCUACAACAUAGCUCAAAGUUACACCAGAUGUUUUAACCUACUGAGCGAGGUCAGGGAUCAAACCUCACGGAUACUAGUCAUGUUUGUUACCACUGAGCCACAUCCUUUUAAACUCACUAGUAAACUAUUGACUACAGGGGAAAAAAACCAACAACAACAGAAUUUACCAAUAAAAUCAAUCUCAGCUUUAAAAAAUGAUUUAAUGCUGUGUAUUAGGAGGAAACUGUACUAGUGAUUUUAAAAUAUUUAGCUAACAGAUUGUUUAUCUUCAAUCACAGAUCUGUAUCUGCUGUUUAGCUCAUGGAAACUAAAAAUAUUCACUUAUUUGGCACAUUCUUCUGGUGAAAUUAUUGGCAGAAAUUUCAAAUUAGGUAGAAAUCUUAUGUUUAAGAAUGCAAAGGUGGUUUUUUUUUUUUUCUUGGUUUUAUGUUUUUCUAUUCUUUGUUUCUUCAUUAAAGGAAGUUUAUAAGGAUAUGGGAAAAGUAUAAGUAUCGAGAAUAGAGGAAGACUAAUAACUAUCUCAUUAAUGAGUCAUUUGAUGAACCUGUAUAUAUAUAUUUUUCAUUUUAAGGAGCAGGUCCAAACCAAGGGCUCUUUCACUCUUUAUGCUAUUUUUUAAUUAGCCCUUUCACUACUGCAUCCUCAUAUGAAAUCAAGAAAAUGAAAAUUACAAAAAGACAUGAUUUUUGCCAGUGACUUCCUUAUCUCUGUGGCAAAUGGGAGCCCACACAUAAGUGAUCAGUAAGCUAGUUUCCAAGCAUACUUUCUUUAAGAGAAAGACGAAUUCUAGCCACCACCUAAACAAGCCACCUCCUUCACAACCAGCCACAGAUAACUAGGACCUUGAUGAUGAGGGGUAGAAACAGCACACUGGCAUCAGACAUCUCCCUUGGCAGAAUUUCCUCACUGCUGAACUCCCAAGGAAUGGCUUCAGGGGGCUGCUGAGAAUCUUUGGGUGCCUCAGCCACCUAGGGAUUAUCUCUAGCAAACCUGGAAGAUGGAUUUGAUAUCUGCUGCUCCCUGAACAACCAACUUUCUAUCCUUCAGUUUACACAUUGUGUUGUCACAUCCUCCUCCCUGUAUCCAUGCUGGCACUGGUAACACAGUACUCUUUAGAAACGUGUUAAGUUUAUUGUUCCCAGGGCUUUACAGUAUUCCAUUUACUCUAAGCAUCUAAGCAUUGUCAUCCUUUAAAAAUAGCAGCUGUCACCCUACUCGUGGCCCCUCCUUGAGAAUCCCUUGUCUCUACCAUGGGGACUGCUGUGGAAAAGUCAGGCUUUCUUAGAAGAUAUGUAUAUUUAGAUUUAGAAAACUAGAAAGCAUUGUGGAAAAUAAAAUAGAAUCAGGAAGUUGACCUGAUCUUACUUAAAUUGGUUUCUUCACUACAGAAUUUCUCAGAGCCUUUAACAAUUAGUAUGUAAAACUGUUGUAAAAAGGGCCGAGGGAGGAUCUGUUCUCAGUGAGUUGCUAUGCUCUCCUGACAUUUCCCUGCCAAAAGUUCUGUCACCUUAUGUAGACUUUUCAUUGUUUCAUUGCUGAACAUAAACACCUCACCCCUGUCCUCCCUUACAGUUUAUUUAGGACACAAGUAUCCUUUUUUUAAAACUCAAAUAUGUUUAGAGGGUAAGGAUAUUGAUUACUAGUGUUUUAUAUCUUAACGUGGUUUAGUUUGAGAAGGUUGCUUUCCCCCUAGCAUCUAAUUACACUAAAUUACACUGCUGUUGAUUUAGAAGGAAAAGAGGGCUAUGUCUUUAGAGCAUGUGCAAUUGAACACAUACAUUUCUGUGUGUAAGGAGUUGGGGGGGUGGAUAAUGGAUAACUGGAAAUGUGGGGAGAACUAUGUGUGUGGUUUUAUUGUACUGGGCCUGAUUAGGUUGGGUCAGAGUUUGUGAAAGAAGUAAUAAUAAAGUCGGUAUAAAAGCUAAUGAUGCCUGUUUCACAGAUAGGUGUAUUUUCCACAAAUACAUCCAUCUUUCUGCUAUACAGCAAACAUUCCUCCUCUCAAAAUUGUAGCUUCUUAAAUUUUGGACCUUAGAAUUCAAACUUUGGCUACCUUUGGAUUAAAUAUGAUAAAGGGCUUUAUCUGAGGCGCUAUCUUCCAUUUUUUUAAACUAUUUUUAUAACAAAGAUUUUCUCCAAGUUUCAAAACGUGUACUUAUAGAUGCACUUUUUAAAUAUAGCCUAUUGUGAUGUGUAGUUUACUUAAAGUUUUUCCACUCAAAGGAUUAUUUUUCUUAAAGUAAAUUAACAAAUCUAUCCUCCUAAGUGUGGGAAUAUAAUUACUAGUGAUAGAAAUAUGUGUGUUUUGGAGAUUUAUAUUAUCACUUUUCAUUUGGAGAGCUCAAGUUAUUGCCAAAGUUCAAAUGACAUGCAGCUCCAGAAAUAUUUAGUAUCUUGUCCAAAGAGAGACAAGAUUAUAUAAUGAUACACUGUCUUAAGUAAAAACAAACCAAACUAAAAACUUCAUCAUAGACAGUUAUAAUGUUGAAAAUCAGAACUGUCUCUCUUAAAGGGCAACCCUAUCUCCAAAAAGAAUAAAAUGAAUGUUUCUUGAUAGAAAGACUGUAUUAACUACAUUUUCUAUAUUCUUGAUGCUCUGGCAUCCAUGGCCUUGCUAACCAGGGAAGACUGCCCUUCCUAGGACUAGUUAAUCACCUGAGAUAGCAAAUGAACCCCCUACAAGCACCACUUUCAUAUACAAACCAACAAGUUCAGAGCCCAUACCCCCCCCCCAAACACACACACUCUUCCUCUAUUGGGCUUUUACAAUCUGGAUCAAUAUCAAAGUGCCAGUUACCAGACAAUGUCAGAGAGCUUCUGCACCCCAGAGACUGCUGAAAUUAUUCUAACGAGCCAAUCCUAAGCCUACUUACCAUGCCUUAUUCAUUUUUCCCCUUGGAAACCUCAAUAAAAGCCCUUGCCAGUACUUCCCCUUGCUUCCUCUGCCUCCUGAUCAACCCUGGUGCUUCUCCAUGUGGCCCUGCCUGGUGUGUUAUACCCUCUCUUUUGGGGAUAUCUGAUUAAUAAUAAAAUCUACAUUUUAAAACAAAGACUUUAAGCUAAUGCCGGUGGGUUGUUUAAUUUCCAAUUUAGCAUGCUUAGAAAUAACAGAACAUGAGGUCUUCUUCUGUAGAUGAUGGUCAAAUUAACCCCUAUGUAGUAUGGUAUGAAAAUUUAGAUCUUCUGCUAGUUUAGCUCUCACUGUCUAUGAGGUCUGAUCUUCAAUGUCCUUAUUUGUAAACUGAGAAAUUUGAACCAGAUAAUCUCUAUAAAUUCCUCUAGAUAUGUUAUAUAAUUUCUUGGUGUUUCCACUAAUAAAUUUUUAUUAACAAAAUUUCCUUAGUAUAAUUCCCCCAGUCUAAACAUCAUUGGAAUAUUAUUUUGUCUAUUGCCUUCUCACCACCAGAUGUGAGUUCCCUUAUGACAGGUACUUGUGUAAGUAAUUCUUCUGUUCCUGGCACCUAUCAUGGCAUUAAAUCCAACAGUAGGAGCUCAGUAACUACUAAAACAAACACAAUAAUUGACUGACUCAAAGUACAGUGAGCUUCAUGUUGGGUGGCAAUAGCCAUGAAAACAAGCUUAAGAAAACUGACAUUUUUAAUGGUAAGCUUGAAUAAGGAGAUGCUACACUGAAACAAUCCAACUUUUUCCUACUAAUAAAUAAAUUGGUUAUUUGUAAAAUGAAAGAAUUGAUCACUAGAAAUAUUCUUAGGAGAAGACGAAAACUUUUUAGGAAUUUUUACUUCCAGUUGCUUUAGAUUUCUUUCUCCCUCUUUUUUUUUUUUUUUCCAAAAUGACUGGUUAUUGAUUUGGUUAUUGGUUUGAAGUAUUAUUUGAGAGCUGUUUUAAAUUUUUUUUCUAUCCACUAAAAAGCAACAAUGGGCAUUUUUAAUUUUAUAGAAAAAUGAAAAAAAAAUAUUAAUCUGCAGCCAUGCCAAAAAGGCAAACAAAAAGAGCAGCUUUUAAUUAAAUCUAAGGGCUAGAAGUCUUGGUACAGUUUUUUCAUUUUCCUCUUUAUUCCUCUCCCAGCCAGUAGCUGAGUGUUGCAUUGUAACUGCUCCUCAUCUGAUUUCCAUUUUUCUCUCUGCAGAAAGAAGAAUAUUAAAAGUCACAAUAGUAUACAUUUUAGAAGAAAUUUUUAAUUACUAAUUCAUAAGAAGUAAUAUUCAUGCACCAUGUUACAUGACCUAAAUUAAAACACUAAGUUGAAUUUGCUCUGUGGGAUGUUAAUACCAAGUAAUAUAGGUAAAGGAAUAUGUGGAUGUUUUCCAUGUCCUGUAAAAGAAAAUUCUGUCUUUCAACAUCAGCAUCUGAAUAUAUUUCAGCACCUGAAUUAAGGGGCCAUCUGUGAUUUUUAUUUGGGGGAGAACUAUAUUCUAGAAAUGAGAUCUAAGUAAUUGAAUUCACUCUCAGAUUGUUCCUCUUCCUUGACACAAAGGUCGGGAGGGUACUUCAAAUCUCUCUUUCCUGGAAAGACUCUGCUCCUAGUUUAUCAUUUGGAAUUUAGAAACACAAGUUAAAAGUGACUAGAAAAAUAACUUGGUCAAAAUUGAGUCUGGAUUACACUGUGGUUCCCUUUGUGUAAUUGCUUUGAUCUCUGAGUCCUCUAGUCAUUAGAUUCUAUUUAGUAAUUUUAAUAAGAAAGACAGUUAGGAAAAUGGGAGGAGAUCAAUAGCCAGCCCAGCUUUAUCAGCACACCAUUAGAAAAUUGGAAAAUUAGAAAUUC
rnacentral:lncRNA from 1 species